rnacentral:tRNA from 10 species
GGUGCCGUAGCCAAGUAGUAAGGCAGGGGUCUGCAAAACCCCCAUACGUGGGUGCAAUUCCCACCGGCACCUCCA